GCCGCCGUGGCUCAAUCUGGUAGAGCACCUCAUUCGUAAUGAGGGGGUUAGGGGUUCGAUUCCCCUCGGUGGCUCCA
rnacentral:tRNA from 1 species